GACUCCCAACAGCCGCAACAGCCAGAUGGACCUGCUGCCCGGACUCAAGGACGAGUCGGACUACGUGGGCGACUCGGAGAACAAAGAGUCCCUGGACGGCCACGCCCCCUUCCAGCCCCACCAUGCGGCGCAGACCCCAUGGAGGCUACAGCCCCAUCGUGCAGUGCAGCUUCCGGCCCAAGGAACCCUCGACCGCUGCCCAUGACUUCAUGGAAGCGGCAGCCUCACCGUGCGGCACAGACCCCAUGGAGGCUACAGCCCCAUCGUGCAGUGCAGCCUCCAGCUUCCGGUCCAAAGAACCCUCAACUGCUGCUCAUUACUCCAUGGAAGCGGCAGCCUCACCGUGCGGCGCAGAC